UUGCGGUUAAAAAGCUCGUAGUUGGAUUUCUGUUGAGGAUGACCGGUCCGCUCUUUGAGCGCGUAUCUGGUUCAGCCUUGGCAUCCUCUUGGGGAACGCUACUGUGCUUGAUUGCAUGGGGCGGUAUUCAAGACUUUUACUUUGAGGAAAUUAGAGUGUUCACUGCAAGCGUUAGCAAUUGAAUACAUUAGCAUGGAAUAAUAAUAUAGGACCUUGGUACUAUUUUGUUGGUUUCUAGAACUAAGGUAAUGAUUAAUAGGGACAAUUGUGGGCAUUCGUAUUAACGCGUCAGAGGUGGAAUUCUUAGAUUGCGUUACGACGAACUACUGCGAAAGCAUUUGCCAAGGAUGUUUUCAUUGAUCAAGAACGAAAGUAUGGGGAUCGAAGACGCUUAGAUACCGUCGUAGUCUAUACCAUAAACUAUGCCAACUAGAGAUUGGAGGUCGUUCUCUUUAUGACUCCUUCAGCACCUUAUGAGAAAUCAAAGUCUUUGGGUUCCGGGGGGAGUAUGGUCGCAAGGCUGAAACUUAAAGGAAUUGACGGAAGGGCACCACCAGGAGUGGAGCCUGCGGCUUAAUUUGACUCAACACGGGAAAACUUACCAGUCCAGACAU
rnacentral:rRNA from 1 species